rnacentral:misc_RNA from 1 species
GAUGAAGAACGAAGCGAAAUGCGAUAAGUAAUGUGAAUUGCAGAAUUCAGUGAAUCAUCGAAUCUUUGAACGCACCUUGCGCUCUUUGGUAUUCCGAAGAGCAUGCCUGUUUGAGUGUCAUGAAAAUAUCAACCUUGACUUGGGUUUUGUGCUCUAGUCUCGGCUUGGAAUUGGGUGCUUGCCGCUUUUACGAGCGGCUCACCUUAAAUGUAUUAGCUGGAUCUGUCUUUGAGACUUGGUUUGACUUGGCGUAAUAAGUAUUUCGCUAAGGACAUUCUUCGGAGUGGCCUCGUUUCUAGGACGCUUGUCCGCUUUCCAAUACAAGUUCCACCUCGUGGACAUGACUUUUUAUUAUCUGGCCUCAAAUCAGGCAGGACUACCCGCUGAACUUAAGCAUAUCAAUAAGCGGAGGA